GGAGAGGUGCCCGGAGUGGUUGAUCGGGGACCAGCGAAAGGUCGGGCCCCCGCGGGGCCCACGCAGGUUCGAAUCCUGCCCUCUCCG
rnacentral:tRNA from 2 species